rnacentral:rRNA from 1 species
CGGCGGACGGGUGAGUAACGCGUGGGUAACCUGCCUUACACAGGGGGAUAACAGUUAAGAAAUGACUGCUAAUACCGCAUAACGACCCCGGUACCGCAUGGUACAGAAGGUAAAAACUGAGGUGGUGUAAGAUCGGACCCGCGUCUGAUUAGGUAGUUGGUGAGGUAACGGCUCACCAAGCCGACGAUCAGUAGCCGGCCUGAGAGGGUGGACGGCCACAUUGGGACUGAGACACGGCCCAGACUCCUACGGAAGGCAGCAG